rnacentral:rRNA from 1 species
GACAGAGGCCUCGAGCGUUAGGCGGAAUCACUGGGCUUAAAGCGUGUGUAGGCGGGCCCGUAAGUGUCUUGUGAAAUCCCACGGCUCAACCGUGGAACUGCUGGGCAUACUGCGGGUCUUGGGCCAACUAGGGGCAGCCGGAACAAGCGGUGGGGCGGUGAAAUGCGUAGAUAUCGCUUGGAACGCCGAAGGUGAAAACAGGCUGCUGGGGUUGCGCCGACGCUGAGACACGAAAGCCAGGGGAGCAAACGGG